rnacentral:rRNA from 1 species
GACGAACGCUGGCGGCGUGCCUAAUACAUGCAAGUCGAGCGGACGGAUGGGAGCUUGCUCCCAGACCGUCAGCGGCGGACGGGUGAGUAACACGUGGGCAACCUGCCUGUAAGACUGGGAUAACUCCGGGAAACCGGGGCUAAUUCCGGCUAACUCUUUCCCUCACAUGAGGGAAAGCUGAAAUAUGGCAUCUCGCUAUCACUUACAGCUGGGCCCGCGUCGCAUUAGCUAGUUGGAGAGGUAACGGCUCACCAAGGCGACGAUGCGUAGCCGACCUGAGAGGGUGAUCGGCCACACUGGAACUGAGACACGGCCCAGACUCCUACGGGAGGCAGCAGUAGGGAAUCUUCCGCAAUGGGCGAAAGUCUGACGGAGCAACGCCGCGUGAGUGAUGAAGGUUUUCGGAUCGUAAAACUCUGUUGUCAGGGAAGAACAAGUGCCGGAGUAACUGCCGGUACCUUGACGGUACCUAAACAGAAAGCCACGGCUAACUACGUG